rnacentral:rRNA from 1 species
CGCAAACCGACACAGGUAGACAGGUAGAGAAUACUAAGGCGCGCGAGAUAACUCUUGUUAAGGAACUCUGCAAAAUGAACCCGUAACUUCGGGAGAAGGGUUGCUGACCAUGGUGAGUAUGGACAAUACAGAGCUGAGGUCAGUCGCAGUGAAAAGGUCCAGGCGACUGUUUAGCAAAAACACAGGUCAUUGCAAAACCGCAAGGUGAAGUAUAAUGGCUGACGCCUGCCCGGUGCUGGAAGGUUAAGGGGAAGAGUGCAAGCUUUGAACCGAAGCCCCAGUAAACGGCGGCCGUAACUAUAACGGUCCUAAGGUAGCGAAAUUCCUUGUCGGGUAAGUUCCGACCCGCACGAAAGGCGAAACGAUCUGGACGCUGUCUCAACAAGGGACUCGGUGAAAUUGAAAUUCCGGUAAAGAUGCCGGAUACCUGCGAUAGGACAGAAAGACCCCAUGGAGCUUUACUGUAGCCUGAUAUUGGGUUUCGGAUAUUCAUGUACAGGAUAGGUGGGAGACUGAGAAUCGAGGACGCCAGUUUUCGAGGAGUCACUGGUGGGAUACCACCCUUAAAUGUUUGGAAUUCUAACAAGGAGUCUUGAAGCAGAUUAUUGGACAGUGUCAGGUGGGCAGUUUGACUGGGGCGGUCGCCUCCCAAAAGGUAACGGAGGCGCUCAAAGGUUCCCUCAGAACGGAUGGAAAUCGUUCGCAGAGUGCAAAGGCAGAAGGGAGCUUGACUGCGAGAGCAACAACUCGAGCAGAUAGGAAACUAGGGCUUAGUGAUCCGGCGGGCGCGAGUGGAAGUGCCGUCGCUCAACGGAUAAAAGCUACCCUGGGGAUAACAGGCUUAUCUCCCCCAAGAGUUCACAUCGACGGGGAGGUUUGGCACCUCGAUGUCGGCUCAUCGCAUCCUGGGGCUGAAGUAGGUCCCAAGGGUUGGGCUGUUCGCCCAUUAAAGCGGUACGCGAGCUGGGUUCAGAACGUCGUGAGACAGUUCGGUCCCUAUCCAUCGCGGGCGUAGGAAAUUUGAAGGGAGCUGACCCUAGUACGAGAGGACCGGGUUGGACAGACCGCUGGUGAACCAGUUGUCCUGCCAAGGGCAUAGCUGGGUAGCUAAGUCUGGAGAAGAUAAACGCUGAAAGCAUCUAAGCGUGAAGCGAACCUUAAGAUGAGAUUUCCAAUAGCAAUACGAGAGACACCAGAGAGAAUAACUGGUAGAUAGGUCAGGAGUGUAAGUGUGGUGACACAUUGAGCGGACUGAUACUAAUAAGUCGAGCACUUAGCCAA